AACCCUAACUAAUAGACCCACGGCGUAAAACGUGUUUAAGAACAUUAAAUAAUUAAAGCCAAACUACAACUACGCUGUAAAAAGCCCUAGUCACUGUAAGCCCCACUACGAAAGUAGCUUUAAAUCCUCUGAAUACACGACAGCUAAGACCCAAACUGGGAUUAGAUACCCCACUAUACUUAGCCAUAAACCCAAAGAAUUAACACAACAAGAUUCUUCGCCAGAGUACUACUAGCCAAAGCUUAAAACUCAAAGGACUUGGCGGUGCUUCACAUCCUUCUAGAGGAGCCUGUUCUAUAAUCGAUAAACCCCGAUAAACCUCACCAACUCUUGCUAACU
rnacentral:rRNA from 1 species